GAUGAACGCUGGCGGAGUGCCUUGAGCAUGCAAGUGGAACGGUUUUGAGCUUGGUAGCAAUACUGAGCUUGAAGCAGUCGCAGACGGGUGAGUAAUACAUAGGAAUCUACCCAAUGGUGGGGAAUAACUCGGCGAAAGCUGGGCUAAUACCGCAUGACGUCGCAAGACAAAAGUUUAUCGCAAGAUAGACGCCGAUGGAGGAGCCUAUGGCCUAUCAGUUAGUUGGUGGGGUAAUGGCCUACCAAGACGAUGACGGGUAGCUGGACUGAGAGGUCGGUCAGCCACAAUAGCACUGAGACACGGUCCAGACUCCUACGGGAGGCAGCAGUGGGGAAUUUUGGACAAUGGGCGCAAGCCUGAUCCAGCAAUGCCGCGUGCAGGAUGAAGGCCUUCGGGUUGUAAACUGCUUUUGUACGGAACGAAACGGCCCUUUCUAAUACAGGGGGCUAAUGACGGUACCGUAAGAAUAAGCACCGGCUAACUACGUGCCAGCCGCCGCGGUAA
rnacentral:rRNA from 1 species